rnacentral:rRNA from 1 species
CCUACGGGGGGCUGCAGUGGGGAAUAUUGGACAAUGGGCGCAAGCCUGAUCCAGCAAUACCGCGUGUGUGAAGAAGGCCUGAGGGUUGUAAAGCACUUUUAAUCGGGAGGAAUAGCGGUCGGGUAAUACCCGGUCGUCUGACAUUACCGAUAGAAAAAGCACCGGCUAACUCCGUGCCAGCAGCCGCGGUAAUACGGAGCGUGCAAGCGGGGAUCGGAACGACUGGGCGUAAAUCGUUCAGUGGCGGGUGAAAGCCCCGGGCUUAACCUGGGAACGGCAUUUGAAACUGAUCGACUGGAGUUGGGUAGAGGGGAGUGGAAUUUCAGGUGUAGCGGUGAAAUGCGUAGAUAUCUGAAGGAACACCAGUGGCGAAGGCGGCUCCCUGGACCCAAACUGACGCUGAGGCACGAAAGCGUGGGUAGCAAACAGGAUUAGAUACCCCAGUAGUC